rnacentral:rRNA from 1 species
UACGUAGGGGCCGAGCGUUAUCCGGAUUCAUUGGGCGUAAAGAGCGUGUAGGCGGCCGCUUAAGUCCUGCGUGAAAUCUCGGAGCUCAACUCCGAGCGGUCGUGGGAAACUGGGCGGCUAGAGUGCGGGAGAGGAGAGUGGAAUUCCUGGUGUAGCGGUGGAAUGCGCAGAUAUCCGAAGGAACACCCGUGGCGAAAGCGGCGCGCUGGACCACUACUGACGCUGGAGGAACGAAAGCUAGGGGAGCAAACAGG